UACGUAGGUGGCGAGCGUUGUCCGGAUUUACUGGGUGUAAAGGGCGUGUAGGCGGGACUGCAAGUCAGAUGUGAAAUCCAGGGGCUUAACCCUUGAACUGCAUUUGAAACUGUGGUUCUUGAGUGAUGGAGAGGCAGGCGGAAUUCCUUGUGUAGCGGUGAAAUGCGUAGAUAUUAGGAGGAACACCAGUGGCGAAGGCGGCUUUCUGGACUGUAACUGACACUGAGGCACGAAAGCGUGGGGAGCAAACAGGAUUAGAUACCCCGGUA
rnacentral:rRNA from 1 species